AGUUUUCUUUUUCCCCCCUCAGCUCGUGUUUUUUGGUUUUAGUAGACGGAAACUACCGGACUGUUCAGCUGGGACAGUACACGCCGAUGACGUGUCAGAAAACAAGACAGAAAUUGACAAUGACACAAUCCUCUUAGCAGUUGUGGACGAAACGCCAACUAAUGGGCAAGGCAUUUGAGACCAGCAUGAACAGAUGUUUUCCUGGGAAUUGUUUGCUGUUUUUGGACUUAGUUACACUGUAGUCAUGGCAACAGUUCUGUGUGGUUUGUGCCAGUGGUGUUGCUGAAGCCAUUGCUCGACUGUUGUGGGUAUAAUCAAUGUCAGUGUGUUAUGUAGGCUGCCAUUCAGGUGUGAUUUGACCAGCCCCUCCUCUGAUGUUAUUACAUCCUUUCAAUGAGAAAAUCCAUCCAUAAACAGAGAGACAUAUUGUGUAUCCUCUGUGAACACUUGGUGGUUAACAACGCAGAUAAUAUACUGUUUGAUGGCUUUAAUCAGUUAUGACAGGGCUAUUUUAUCAACACAAACAAAUAUUAAGUUUGCACUGUGCUCCUCUUUCCUCUGUUCAUCUCUCCUUUAAGUGUCUCCCUGGUAGAAGAAGUAGAAGAGAAGUAGUAAAAGAGGGGAGAAAAACAGUGGGAGUGAAAUGUGAAAUGUAAUGACUCAUGCCAGCUAAAUGAGUGCAGUUGAGUUUCCCGUUAAAGCUUCAGACUUCAGAGCCAGAGCAAUCAAAAAAAGAAAAGAAAAAAAGAGAGGCCUAAACGGCCUAAAGACAGGAAAUCUACAAUUAUUUCUUCCUGUCCUUCUGGUACUUUAGGGAUUUUCUGUACUUGUUAUUUUGACACACUUUAAAACUUGCAUGUGCAGCAGUUUAUGAGACAAGGUCAGUGACUUAUGUUGAAAACUGGAAUUUAAGGCCAACAUGUUACUGUAAUGCUUUAAAUUAACAAGAUUAGGAAAUAAAUCAAAAUUUCAGCAUAUUGUGUCUCCACUUAGACGUACUCACAACUACAGUACUUACAACAUACUGUUCAAUAAACAAAAGAGAGUGGGACACAACUUACUGUAUGUACAAAGUGUUAUCAUUUAUUCACAUUUUAAAAAAAGUGAACAAGGUCAAAGCUUAUAGUUCCAUUGUGGUGUUCAUCAUUAUACAGGGUACAUCAUUAAACAAAUAUACAGUUUUGGACUGCAGGUCCUCUCUUUCAUUGUCACUCAGGCAGCACAUCAGUCAAGAACACACACAUACACACACGCACACACACACACACACACACACAGAUGUACAUA